rnacentral:lncRNA from 1 species
AUGGACUUGAUCUGCUCUACAGACACAGGAAAGGUUUUCCUCAGUAAAUGUCAAUUUACCUGCACUCCAAAGGAUGAUAUAAGUGUUUUUAGGAACAGUCAGUUUGGCAUGAUUCCUCUCUCUGAGCACCAAGAGAAGAAGAGAGUGCUGAGACACAGAGGCUAUUGUGGAAGCCAAGACACCCAGAAUUCCAGCAAUGUCAGAGGAAUAUUUGCAAGAGAGAUGGUGUCACAUGCAGCUCUGCUCCAGAUUCUGGCUUCCUGUCAACUUAUUUCAUCAGUGGCAGCAAAUGAUGGCUCAAGGAUUUGGGUCCGUGUCACCCACAUGGGAAGAUGA